UUACGUGCCUGGGAGUACUUUCAGCCCUCUUAUAUGUUAGCUGCAACUGUCUGUCCCUAAUUAUUUUAGUUUUGGUCCCUGGUUCUGCUGCUUUCUCUGUGCUCAAAGUACCAUUUGAGACCAAUAUAAUGAGUUCGUUUCCUCCGCCAGGCAAGUUAAUUUCUUUUCUAUUUAUCUGUUUUUUUUCCUCUUAUGGAGCUUAGUAUACCGAGCUGCCAUCUAAUUAAGUCAUAGUUUUGAAUUUGAUAUCGUUUGAUUGUUAGGGUAUGGUGCACCUCCUCCACCAGCAACUGGCGGGUACUACGGUCAGAGCUAUCCUCCGCCACCAAGUUAUCAAGGAUACUUCAAUGAUCAAUACGCUCCUCCUCCACCACCUCCUCAGCCUAUCUAUCACCACCACGAGCAUAACGGAUGUUCCUCAUUCCUCAAAGGCUGGUAUGUCAACUCUCUCGAAAGAGAUUUUCAUAUUCCCAUAAUUUAAGUAGAUGCAAGAUCUACAAAUUUAUCUUUGUAGUUGUGUAAGCAGUUUUGUUGUUUUUCCAAUAAUAGGGGCCCGUACUUCAUACAACAACAACAACUUAGUAUAUUCUUACAAAGUGGGGUCUGGGGAGGGUAAUAUGUAGGCAGGCCUUACCCCUACCCGAGAGGGUAAAGAGGCUGUUUCCAAUCGACCCUCGGCGCAGAGAAGGGAAGGGAAGGAAAACAAAAAUAAAAAUAAAAACAAAAACAAAAACAACAUUAGUAACUCCAGCAGAAAUCACAUAAAUAAUUAUCUAAACAUAAGAACCAUAAGUACCAUAAAUAAAAUGACAUGCAAUAAUAACAAUCAGUAACUAUCAAAAAUGACUACCAUAAGAGGACACAAACCAAUACACAAAGUAUUUAUGGAGAGCCCUACCAAGCCCCCCAACCCCGGGAAAGGAGUACGAAAAAUCCAGAAGCCCCUAUCCUACAACCCUAAUACUAGACCUCCAGACUUUCCUAUCAAGGGCUAUAUCCUCGGAAAUCCGCAUACUAGCCAUGUCCUGCCUAAUUACCUCUCACCAGUACCUCUUAGGCCUCCCUCUAUCUCGCCUCACACCGACCACCGCUAUCCGCCCACAACUCCUCACCGGGGCAUCAUGGGCUUCUCCUCUGCACAUGCCCAAACCUCUUGAGCCUCGCUUCUCGCAUCUUCUCAUCCACUGGGGCCACCCCCACCUUCUCCCGAAUAACUUCAUUUCUAAUCUUAUCUAACGUCCACCUAAGCAUCCUCAUCUUCGCCACCUUCAUCCUCUAAACAUGAGAGUUCUUCAACGGCCAGCACUCCAUCCUAUACAACAUGGUAGGUCUAACCACAACUCUAUAAAACUUCCCCUUGAGUUUCUGUGGCACUUUCUUGUCACACAAGACUCCUGAUGCAAGCCUCCACUUCGACCACCCCGCCCCUAUGCGGUGAGUGACAUCCCCGUCUAUCUCUCCGUCCCCCUAAAUCACCGAUUCAAGAUAUCUGAAAUUGUCCCUCUUGGCUAUGGCCUGAGAUCCAAUCUUCACGUCCCCGCCUACUCCGCUCGGCUCGGCACUAAACUUGCACUCCAGGUAUUCAGUCAUAGACCUGCUCAGUUUGAAAACCUUAGACUCGAGAGUCUGUCUCCAUGCCUCUAGCCUCUCGUUAACAACGACCCUCGUCUCGUCUAUCAAGACUAUGUCAUCAGCAAAUAGCAUACACCAAGGCACAUCCCCUUGAAUAUGAUGGGUUAGAGCAUCCACCACCAAGGCAAACAAGAGAGGGUUCAGCGCAGAUCCUUGAUGGAUCCCCAUAACCACUGGGAAAUAGUCUGAGUCGCCACCCACUGUCCUGACCCUAGUCUUAGCUCCAUCGUACAUGUCCUUGAUUACCCUGAUGUAGGCUUCCGAUACGCUCUUAGCCUCCAGGCACCUCCAUAGCACCUCCCUAGGUACCUUGUCAUACGCCUUCUCCAAGUCGAUAAACACCAUGUGCAGGUCCUUCUUCUAAUCCUGAACUGUUCCACCAAUCUCCUUACAAGGUGGAUAGCUUCUAUAGUGGAGCGGCCUAGCAUGAAACAUGUCAUUCUUCUUAUCCCUGAACUGUUCCACCAAUCUCAUGACAAGGUGGAUAGUUUCUGUAGUGGAGCAACCUAGCAUAAAACCGAAUUGGUUCACGGAUAUAGAUGACGUCACCCCCACCCUAGCCUCGAUCACCCGCUCCCAGACUUUUAUGGUGUGACUUAUUAAUUUGAUACCCCUAUUGUUGUUGCAACACUGGAUAUCCCCUUUGUUCUUGUACAAGGGCACACUGUACUCCAUCUCCACUCCUCCAGAAUCCUCUUAGUCCUAAAGAUCACAUUGAACAACCUGGACAACCACUUUACUCCUAACCUACCCAUGUAUUUCCCAAACUCCACCGAAACACUGUGCUCCACCUCCACUCCUCCGGCAUCCUUUUUCUCCUGAAGAUCGCAUUGAACAACCUGGUGAGACACUCUACUCCUGUCUUACCCGUGCAUUUCCAGAACUCCAUCGGGAUUUCGUCUAGCCCGAUCGCUCGACCCCUAUUCAUCCUACACAAAGCCCUCACGACCUCCUCCACUCUAAUGCGCUCGUACUUCAUGUGUCAAAUAAAUAAGUGCCCCCCGUAACUAUUUGUAAAUGUAUAAAUAUGACCUAAGAGUAAUACAAGUGGAAGGCUGACGACAGUAUAAUAUACUAAAGGGCAACCCGGUGCAUUAAGCUCCCGCUAUGCGCGGGAUACGGGGAAGGCCUGACCAUAAGGUUCUAUCGUACGCAUUCUUACCUUAUACUUCUGCAAGAGGCUAUUUCCACAACUCGAACCCGUAACCUCCUGGUCACAUGACAGUAUAUAUACCAGUAAAACUAAUUAUAUUUUUUUAUGAUAUUCAAGAACGUUGAUUGGUAUGUAAUACUAUAUAUCUUAGUAUAAGCAUAUAUACUUUCAUAGUCUUGAUAAGCUGUAUAUUUCUACUCCUUGAUUUCCAAUUGAACUUUCGAAUCAAUUGACAUUUGGGUUAUUACGCUGUCAAGAUUAUAAUAUCUUCCCAAAUUCAAUUGAGUCAAACUAAAGUGCUGCUGCUAAAAUUUUGCCAUUUGUAACAAGUAAUUAUUCAUAACUGAUAGAACUGAUAAUUUUUUCUACCCCAAGAUCACUGAUUUACAUAAUAAAAGCCAGUCAAUAACAAUAAUCACAGUACGUUCACAUCAAAAAUAUUUAUGGUAAAAAAGCCACAGAUAUUUAUAUGUAAGAGAUUUAUGUUUGAAGUAAACUUGCUUGGAAUUAAUGGUCAGGAAAUUCGCUCUAGUUGAACUACUUCAUCCCGCUGAAUUUUUUAGGAGUAUUAAGUUUCAUGAAGUAAGUAUGCAGUUAGACAUAUAUCACUGGUAGUUUCUAGAAUUAAACUGGUACAUUUCUAAAUUUUUGACCAAUGAUGUAAACGAAUUUGAAUAACAAAUAAUUAAGUUUAUAAUUUAAUCAUAUAACUAUGAAAAAGUUAAGUGAAAAAAAAAAUUAAUGAUCAAUCUUCAAAGAAAUGUAGUAUUUAUCAGGAUUUUACAAGUACAGUAUUAACUGCCUUAUUUUUCAGGCUAAUAGUUGCACUUAUAUAGAAAAGUUAAUUAUCCGUCGAAUUAGUAUAUUAAUUUUACGUUAUCGAUGUGUAAAAGUUAAACUAUAUUUAUUCACCUAGUGCUGAUUGCUUUUUACAGUUUGGCCGCUCUUUGUUGUUGCUGUAUUUUGGAAGAGUGCUGCUGCUGCUGUUUCUAGUUGGUUGGAUUUGCCAUCUGCCCAAAUAUCAUGUGCCUUCAGUCAAACUUUUGCUAUUUGAUGGAUUUUAAUUAUCUCAAAAUUUAAGAUGGUGAUGAUAAUUGAUAAAUAAUAAUGUUCCUAAUUAAUGGACUCUGAACUGCAAACUAUAUGUGUGGGUUUUCUUGCUUUUAAUUAUGUAUUGUUGGAGACAUGUUGGUGUAAUGAUGGAAGGACAAAUGCCAGCUAGUUAUAUUACAAAUAAUACAACUGUAUGAUUGGUUGACUUUACAAAUAAUAAUAAUAUCUUUAGCUGGAUGUUGAGAUAUUCUAUUUAAAUGUUUCAAUUUUAUCCGUAUGUGUUCUAAUGGCAUCUCCAAGGGUGCACUAUUUUUUGC
rnacentral:lncRNA from 1 species